AAACUGGGCCCUGAAGCAGCAGAGGGCUUUGCCCAGGGUGGUGGCACUAGACUGGGACAGAUUAGGAUGAGGUGCCGGGCCCUUCCUGCUACUGGUGUCCUUUCUCCUCAGUCACAAGGACAUAGUAGCUGAGGGGUUGCGCCAGCUGCUGGGGGAGGAGAAAUACCGCCAGGACCUGACUGUGCCUCCAGGCUACUGCACAGGUGAGCAAGGGGCAGGCGGCAGGCCCGGGGAGACGGAGCCCUGGCUAAGGCCGCCGGCCCUGCUCCCCCUCCAGACUUCCUGCUGUGCGUCAGCAGCUCUGGUGCUGUGCUUCCCGUGAGGACCCAGGACCCCUUCCUGCCAUACCCACCAAGGUCCUGCCCACAGGGCCAGGCUGCCUCUAGCGCCACUACUCGAGACCCUGCCCAGAGGUAAAGGAGGCAGGGUGGGGGAGCCCUGGCCACCUUGCCCGCCAUGCCCUGAGCCACGUCCCUCCCCCUGCAGAGUGGUGCUGGUGUUGCGGGAACGCUGGCAUUUCUGC
rnacentral:sRNA from 1 species